rnacentral:sRNA from 1 species
GCCCACAGGAGGGGCAGAAGAGAGAUGUCUGUGAGCCCCAUGGAAAAAAACUCCAGAUCUUCUGUAAGGAGGAUGGAAAAGUCAUUUGCUGGGUUUGUGAACUGUCUCCGGAACACCAAGGUCACCAAACAUUCCGCAUAAACGAGGUGGUCAAGGAAUGUCAGGAAAAGCUGCAGGUAGCCCUGCAGAGGCUGAUAAAGGAGGAUCAAGAGGCUGAGAAGCUGGAAGAUGACAUCAGACAAGAGAGAACCGCCUGGAAGGCAGGAGGAGACACCUCCUAAGGGAUAAUUAGACAGGAAUCUGGGCAGGACCCUGGGCUCUAUCACAAGGAGACCCCUUCCUCUUUGCUGUGCUAGAAUUAACAAGCAUAGAAGUCAUUUGAUUAGGUCUCAAUUUAAUUCCUUCCCUGUUGGAGUUUAGGGGCUGGAGAGUAGACAUAUCAUAAAUCAACACUAUAUUUGGAAGUGAAGGCAUGGAGGGAAAUAUCUGUGAAAACGCUUCCUGUGAAUCCUGUGUUCCAUUUGUGUCAUCAGGUUUGAGGCUCCAAUCCUUCCAGUAAACACCCUGGAGAAAGACCCAGGAUUCCCUGUUUAGGGGGUUUCAGUAGAGGGAUUUUUUUGUUUGUUUGUUUGUUUGUUUGUUUGUUUUUUGAGACAGAGUCUCUGUCAUCCAGGCUGGAGUGUAGUGGCGCGAUCUUGGCUCACUGCAACCUCUGCCUCCCUGGUUCAAACGAUGCUCCUGCGUCAGCCUCCCGAGUAGCUGGGACUACAGGCAUGUGCCACCAUGCCCGGCUAAUUUUUUGUAUUUUUAGUAGAGAUGGGGUUUCAUCAUGUUAGCCAGGAUGGUCUCAAUCUCCUGACCUUGUGAUCCACCCAUCUCAGCCUCCCAAAGUGCUGGGAUUACAGGCAUGAGCCACUGUGCCCGGCCAGGUAGAGGGAUUUAAGACACAGAAAGGCAAAGUUGUUCAGGACAGGUGUCUACAAUCCAAGCCUCACCCAGGCAUCACAUUUUGUCUCAGAUUAGGCCUCAAUAAAACUGACUUGAGUGUAUUGCUUUGGGAGGAGCUCAGGUUAAAAAGUAGAAAAACAUGGCUUCACCAGAAAUUGUGUAUUGGCUUUUGCCUCCUAUUCCUUUUGAGAACUCCCUGAGGAAAACAGUUCUUAUCCUGUCUCCCAGGCUCAUACAAAGCAGGCCUUCAACCAGCCAGACUGACUGCCUCUUUCUCUUUUCAUUCCCAAGAAUUAUAUCCAGAUCGAGAGACAGAAGAUUCUGAAAGGGUUCAAUGAAAUGAGAGUCAUCUUGGACAAUGAGGAGCAGAGAGAGCUGCAAAAGCUGGAGGAAGGUGAGGUGAAUGUGCUGGAUAACCUGGCAGCAGCUACAGACCAGCUGGUCCAGCAGAGGCAGGAUGCCAGCACGCUCAUCUCAGAUCUCCAGCGGAGGUUGAGGGGAUCGUCAGUAGAGAUGCUGCAGGAUGUGAUUGACGUCAUGAAAAGGAGUGAAAGCUGGACAUUGAAGAAGCCAAAAUCUGUUUCCAAGAAACUAAAGAGUGUAUUCCGAGUACCAGAUCUGAGUGGGAUGCUGCAAGUUCUUAAAGAGCUGACAGAUGUCCAGUACUACUGGGUGGACGUGAUGCUGAAUCCAGGCAGUGCCACUUCGAAUGUUGCUAUUUCUGUGGAUCAGAGACAAGUGAAAACUGUACGCACCUGCACAUUUAAGAAUUCAAAUCCAUGUGAUUUUUCUGCUUUUGGUGUCUUCGGCUGCCAAUAUUUCUCUUCGGGGAAAUAUUACUGGGAAGUAGAUGUGUCUGGAAAGAUUGCCUGGAUCCUGGGCGUACACAGUAAAAUAAGUAGUCUGAAUAAAAGGAAGAGCUCUGGGUUUGCUUUUGAUCCAAGUGUAAAUUAUUCAAAAGUUUACUCCAAAUAUAGACCUCAAUAUGGCUACUGGGUUAUAGGAUUACAGAAUACAUGUGAAUAUAAUGCUUUUGAGGACUCCUCCUCUUCUGAUCCCAAGGUUUUG